rnacentral:rRNA from 1 species
GAUGAACGCUAGCGGCAGGCCUAAUACAUGCAAGUCGAACGGUGUCUUCGGACAUAGUGGCGCACGGGUGCGUAACACGUAUGCAACCUACCUUACAUUGGGGGAUAGCCUUUCGAAAGGGAGAUUAAUACCGCAUAAGACAGUAGCUGGGCAUCCAGCAGCUGUUAAAGAUUUAUCGAUGUAAGCUGGGCAUGCGUCCAAUUAGCUAGUUGGUGAGGUAACGGCUCACCAAGGCAAUGAUUGGUAGGGGAACUGAGAGGUCAAUCCCCCACACUGGCACUGAGAUACGGGCCAGACUCCGACGGGAGGCAGCAGUAGGGAAUAUUGGGCAAUGGACGCAAGUCUGACCCAGCCAUGCCGCGUGCAGGAUGAAGGCGUUAUGCGUUGUAAACUGCUUUUAUGCAGGAAGGAACUACUCUUGCGAGAGGCAUUGACGGUACUGUAUGAAUAAGCACCGGCUAACUCCGUGCCAGCAGCCGCCGAA